AUGGCUUGGCCUCUGGCUUUGGGAAGUGGAACACGGGAACAGUGGGCAUCUCGGGCUUUGGUGGAAGCUCCACCUUUGGCAUCUCGGGCUUCGGCGGGAGCUCCACCUUGGGCAUCUCCGGCUUGGGUGGCAAGUGAACCUCCGGGAACGUCGGCAACUCCACCUUGGGCAGCUCAGGCUUGGGUGGCAAGUGCACCUCAGGGACCGGUGGCAGCUCCACCUUGGAAGCUCAGGCUUAGAUGGCAGGUGCACCUCUGGGACCGGCGGCAACUCCACUUUGGGAAGCUCAGGCUUAGGUGGAAGGUGUACUUCCGGGAACGAUGGAAGCUCUACCUUGGGAAUCUGUGGCACCUCGGUCUGGUGCUCUUCCUGGGACAGAACGGUCUCCUCAAGGAUUCUCGCCGCACUACUCAUGGCCACACAUGA
rnacentral:rRNA from 1 species